rnacentral:rRNA from 1 species
CGAGCGGCGGAUGGGUGAGUAACACGUGGGGAACCUGCCCCUAAGUCUGGGAUACCAUUUGGAAACAGGUGCUAAUACCGGAUAAUAAAGCAGAUCGCAUGAUCAGCUUUUGAAAGGCGGCGUAAGCUGUCGCUAAGGGAUGGCCCCGCGGUGCAUUAGCUAGUUGGUAAGGUAACGGCUUACCAAGGCGACGAUGCAUAGCCGAGUUGAGAGACUGAUCGGCCACAUUGGGACUGAGACACGGCCCAAACUCCUACGGGAGGCAGCAGUAGGGAAUCUUCCACAAUGGACGCAAGUCUGAUGGAGCAACGCCGCGUGAGUGAAGAAGGUUUUCGGAUCGUAAAGCUCUGUUGUUGGUGAAGAAGGAUAGAGGUAGUAACUGGCCUUUAUUUGACGGUAAUCAACCAGAAAGUCACGGCUAACUACGUGCCAGCAGCCGCGGUAAUACGUAGGUGGCAAGCGUUGUCCGGAUUUAUUGGGCGUAAAGCGAGCGCAGGCGGAAAAAUAAGUCUAAUGUGAAAGCCCUCGGCUUAACCGAGGAACUGCAUCGGAAACUGUUUUUCUUGAGUGCAGAAGAGGAGAGUGGAACUCCAUGUGUAGCGGUGGAAUGCGUAGAUAUAUGGAAGAACACCAGUGGCGAAGGCGGGCUCUCUGGUCUGCAACUGACGCUGAGGCUCGAAAGCAUGGGUAGCGAACAGGAUUAGAAUACCCUGGUA